UGUUGGUCACAGGUGAAAUGGUGUCUGAC
rnacentral:piRNA from 1 species